rnacentral:tmRNA from 1 species
GGGGAUGUUUGGUUUCGACAGGGUUGUAGGUCGGUCAGUUGCACGCCGAGGCGCCCGGGCCCUCGUAAAAACGGGCAAAACCAGUAACUGGCACACAGCCUGUUGCUCUCGCUGCCUAAGUCACUGACCUCUAGGUAGCGCGUCCAUCCGGACCUUUCCCUUCCGGGACCGGGGUUGGGCGUCACUUAGGAAGGGUGCGGCGGUCAAGUUUGCCAGAGCGCGAUCGCCAAAGGGAGUCUGGCUCACCGUCUGAGGACCCGGUCGAUGGGGGACUCUGGCGGCACGCAAAACAUCGACUAAGCGUGUAGGAUACUGGCGGCUGAAGGUUCUGGACGGGGGUUCGACUCCCCCCAUCUCCACCA